rnacentral:rRNA from 1 species
AUUGUCAGGAAAUCCUUCCCUCUGGAUUCCACAGCAUGUGUCUUAUGCAAUGAAGAUGAGAUGGAGGACAGAACCCAUUUAUUAUUUGCAUGCUCAUUCAGUCAAAAUUUCCGAUGGAAUAUUGAUUUUGAAUGGAACACUGAUUUGACUGUUCAUGACAUGAUCUCUGAUGGCAAAUUAAGACAUAAUCUACCUUUCUUCAUGGAAAUUGUGACUGUUGGAUGCUGGAGUAUAUGGAAUCAGAGAAAUGGCUUGAUAUUUGAAGAUACACCAUGUUCCAUAACCUCAUGCAAAUUUGACUUCAUCAAAACUUUCAAGCUCACCAUGCUGAGAGCAAAGCCUAGCUUCAAGGAUGGCAUGUCAUCCUGGAUAGACAACAUUUGA